UACGGAGGAUGCAAGCGUUAUCCGGAAUGAUUGGGCGUAAAGCGCCCGCAGGUGGCCCUGUAAGUCUGCUGUCAAAGAGUUUGGCUCAACCAAAUAAAGGCAGUGGAAACUACAGAGCUAGAGUGCGUUCGGGGCAGAAGGAAUUCCUGGUGUAGCGGUGAAAUGCGUAGAUAUCAGGAAGAACACCGGUGGCGAAAGCGUUCUGCUAGGCCGCAACUGACACUGAGGGACGAAAGCUAGGGGAGCGAAU
rnacentral:rRNA from 1 species